GGAGGCAGGUAGCCUAGUGGUUUAGGGAGGCGGCAGGUAGUCUAGUGGUUUAGGGAGGCGGCAGGUAGUCUAGUAGUUUAGAGGGGCAGCAGGUAGUCUAGUGGUUUAGAGAGGCGGCAGGUAGUCUAGUGGUUUAGGGAGGCGGCAGGUAGUCUAGUAGUUUAGAGGGGCAGCAGGUAGUCUAGUGGUUUAGAGAGGCGGCAGGUAGCCUAGUGGUUAGAGGGGCGGCAGGUAGCCUACUGGUUUAGAGGGGCGGCAGGUAACCUAGUGGUUUAGAGAGGAGGCAGGUAGCCUAGUGGUUUAGAGGGGUGGCAGGUAGCCUAGUAGUUUAGAGGGGUGGCAGGUAACCUAGUGGUUUAGAGGGGAGGCAGGUAACCUAGUGGUUUAGAGGGGAGGCAGGUAACCUAGUGGUUAGAGGGGCGGCAGGUAGUCUAGUGGUUUAGAGGGGUGGCAGGUAGCCUAGUGGUUUAGAGAGGAGGCAGGUAGCCUAGUGGUUUAGAGGGGAGGCAGGUAGCCUAGUGGUUUAGAGAGGAGGCAGGUAGCCUAAUGGUUUAGAGGGGAGGCAGGUAGCCUAGUGGUUUAGAGGGGAGGCAGGUAGCCUAGUGGUUUAGAGAGGAGGCAGGUAGCCUAGUGGUUUAGAGGGGUGGCAGAGGGGUGGCAGGUAGCCUAGUGGUUUAGAGGGGAGGCAGGUAGCCUAGUGGUUUAGAGGGGAGGCAGGUAGCCUAGUGGUUUAGAGGGGAGGCAGGUAGCCUAGUGGUUUAGAGGGGAGGCAGGUAGCCUAGUGGUUUAGAGAGGAGGCAGGUAGCCUAGUGGUUUAGAGGGGUGGCAGAGGGGUGGCAGGUAGCCUAGUGGUUUAGAGGGGAGGCAGGUAGCCUAGUGGUUUAGAGGGGAGGCAGGUAGCCUAGUGGUUUAGAGGGGAGGCAGGUAGCCUAGUGGUUUAGAGGGGAGGCAGGUAGCCUAGUGGUUUAGAGGGGAGGCAGGUAGCCUAGUGGUUUAGAGGGGUGGCAGGUAGCCUAGUGGUUUAGAGGGGUGGCAGGUAGCCUAGUGGUUUAGAGGGGUGGCAGGUAGCCUAGUGGUUUAGAGGGGAGGCAGGUAGCCUAGUGGUUUAGAGGGGAGGCAGGUAGCCUAGUGGUUUAGAGAGGAGGCAGGUAGCCUAGUGGUUUAGAGGGGAGGCAGGUAGCCUAGUGGUUUAGAGAGGAGGCAGGUAGCCUAGUGGUUUAGAGAGGAGGCAGGUAGCCUAGUGGUUUAGAGGGGAGGCAGGUAGCCUAGUGGUUUAGAGGGGUGGCAGGUAGCCUAGUGGUUUAGAGGGGAGGCAGGUAGCCUAGUGGUUUAGAGGGGUGGCAGGUAGCCUAGUGGUUUAGAGGGGAGGCAGGUAGCCUAGUGGUUUAGAGGGGAGGCAGGUAGCCUAGUGGUUUAGAGGGGAGGCAGGUAGCCUAGUGGUUUAGAGGGGAGGCAGGUAGCCUAGUGGUUUAGAGGGGAGGCAGGUAGCCUAGUGGUUUAGAGGGGUGGCAGGUAGCCUAGUGGUUUAGAGGGGAGGCAGGUAGCCUAGUGGUUUAGAGGGGAGGCAGGUAGCCUAGUGGUUUAGAGGGGAGGCAGGUAGCCUAGUGGUUUAGAGGGGAGGCAGGUAGCCUAGUGGUUUAGAGGGGAGGCAGGUAGCCUAGUGGUUUAGAGGGGAGGCAGGUAGCCUAGUGGUUUAGAGAGGAGGCAGGUAGCCUAGUGGUUGAGAGAGGAGGCAGGUAGCCUAGUGGUUUAGAGGGGUGGCAGGUAGCCUAGUGGUUAGAGGGGUGGCAGGUAGCCUAGUGGGUUAGAGGGGUGGCAGGUAGCCUAGUGGUUUAGAGGGGCGGCAGGUAGCCUAGUGGUUUAGAGGGGAGGCAGGUAGCCUAGUGGUUUAGAGGUGGCAGGUAGCCUAGUGGUUUAGAGGUGGCAGGUAGCCUAGUGGUUUAGAGGGGUGGCAGGUAGCCUAGUGAUUAGAGGGGAGGGACGGCAGGUAGCCUAGUGGUUAGAGGGUUGGGCCAG